rnacentral:rRNA from 1 species
GACGAACGCUGGCGGCGUGCUUAACACAUGCAAGUCGAACGGAAAGGCCCUGCUUUUGUGGGGUGCUCGAGUGGCGAACGGGUGAGUAACACGUGAGUAACCUGCCCUUGACUUUGGGAUAACUUCAGGAAACUGGGGCUAAUAUCGGAUAGGAGCUCCUGCUGCAUGGUGGGGGUUGGAAAGUUUCGGCGGUUGGGGAUGGACUCGCGGCUUAUCAGCUUGUUGGUGGGGUAAUGGCUUACCAAGGCUUUGACGGGUAGCCGGCCUGAGAGGGUGAUCGGGCACACUGGAACUGAGACACGGGACAGACGUCGACGGGAGGCAGCAGUGGGGAAUAGGGGACAAUGGGCGAAAGCAUGAUCGAGCGAGGCCGCGGGUGUGAGGCAGGACUUAGGAGUGGAAAGCAAGGUAAGUGGGGAGGAAGGGCAGUAAGUGAAGACCUUGCGGUUUUGACGUUACCAACAGAAUAAGCACCGGCUAACUUAGUG